AGACUGAUACUGUAUCAUCUCCAUCUUACUGGAAAAGAAGCUGAGGCUCAGAGAGGUGAAGCGACUUCCCCAAGGACACACAGCCAGGAGGUCGUGGACUGAAACAGGACAGCGUGACUCACAUCAGAGCCAGUGCUCUGAGGGGCAGCAUUCUGCUGCCUUCUUGGGAAAGUCAGACAUCACUAAUGAAUGCCGAGAAUGUGGUCCUUCUGAGCAGAGCGCCAUGGAUAGACAGCCAGGGCUACUCUAUCCAGGCUUACAUCGGUGGCAAAGCUAUUUGCCAGUCAUGAAGAGCGAAUCCUCACAAAUCAAGUUUGACAUGUCUAUGGGAGAAUCAAGGCCCGGGGAGCUUGACUUGCCCCAGACUUGGGAGCAGGUUCUGUGUCUGCCCCCACAGCCAGCUGCACAGGACCUAUCAGUGAAGAGGCAACAAGCCCUCCCUCCCUGGAGUAAAAUUUGUGGAUGCAAACCAAAGGAGAGAUCUACAGUUCAGUCUGCCCUGAGCCCACGGGUCUGGUGGAGUCUAAAGUGCUGGGCUAACCUGUCAGUUUCAGCCGGGACUUUCCUUUGGAGGCGGUACCUGCUGCCAGGUGAGAGGUUUUCACUGUGUAGGUGCGGGGGGGUUUCUCCUAGACUCACUCACUAAGUACCCUGAGCUGUGAACUGCCUUAGCGGUUUCUUUUGGAGGGUUGCACUUAUUCUAUUGUCAGUGCUCAGAGCUUUUCAGAGCCAAGGAGAAAACCAUUCUUGUGACUUGUUUUUGAUCAAAAAGGGCUUCACCCAGCUUGACAAUGGGCCCCUAGCAACUCCUGGAUGCUUUUUUUAGCAGACAAGGGCGUCGCGCUAGGCCUGUUCCCAGCCCGUGCAGAGGAGCCUAUGGGCAGUAUUAGGGUGUGACCCCGAGUAGAGGCUCCCUCACAUACAGUUGCCCCACCCAACACCCCCGCCCUGAGCACAAGUCUCCUGCCAGGCAGCCAGCACACACGAGCCCACGGGCCAGACCAGCGUCAGAGGCUGAGAAAGAGCUGCAGAGGUGUUCCGGCCAGCACAGUGCUGCCAGACAGGUGGCUUCCUCCUGAGGAGACCCCGGGGGCUCCACCCACCAGGAGAGUUGGGGUGACCAAAAGGUGGGCUGGGACGGAGGGUGGCGGGGACAGUGCAGGAGGAACGGCUGUGCUGGAAGCGGGGAGGGUGGGGACCCCACAUGGCAGGUGACACCCCUUGCACCCAUCCCUACUCGGGGCCUGCAGGCUCAGUCUGGGAAGAAGCUGUUCUCACAACACCUGGCUCGGCUGCCUUGACUACUUUCACAGGAGUCAACGAGCACAGAGGCUAUGCUGCCCAGAACAAGACACAUGCUGGAAAGUGCUGCAGGAAGUAAACCCGACCUUCUGUUUUGAGGGCCUCUCUCUGGUGAGUGUGUUUUGGGGCACCCAGCUCACAUCCCUAUAGGGGCUACCCUUCCUCCACCCAAUCCUACUCCUGAAAGAGAGACCAGGCUAGCUUUGGGGGAGAGUGUGCAGGCACAGGGUCACCCAAAUAAGGGCCCAUUUUAAGCAUCUCACAAAGAGCAAAUGUCUAUUUUCCUGCUGUAAAUACAUCCAUUACAACGAUCCCACUUGUUUUGUUCCUGGUGAGGAAAUCCCGAGGAGGCGGCGGCAUGGGCAGACAGGCAGGAGUGGGGAACACGGGAGGCUGUGGCAGCACAGCGGAGCCCGGCCCACCACUGGAAACAGCCGGUGCUCACGCUAAGGAAACUCCAAGGCUUCUGAUCCAGGCAGAGCUUGGCCUGUGGACACGACCUGGCUAGGUGGAGCCUGAGCAGAACUGGGAGGUGUUACCUCUGCACUGGAAGCCCAAGACCACACUCCGCCAGCUCCAAGCUCCCCCACUAAGGAUGCCCUCCGAUGCGUCUCUACCUCGCACCUGCACAGCUUUCUAUUCCUCUGCCUUGGACCGUUGAAAAGGGAUGUACGACUCUGACCAAAGGGACAUUAGUUCCUGUUCCUCUACAUCAACAGUUCUCAACUUUAGCCUCCGUCAGGAUUACGGAGGACCAGCCAAAAUGCAGGCUGCCGGGCUCCACCCAGGAAACCUGAUGAGGAAAACCUCUUGUUGACAAACUCAUCCCUCUGUCUGAGGCAGUCACAGCCUAAAGAAGAGACCCAGCCAUGGGACUGUGGCCACCCUGGACCCUGCAGGCCACCAGGAAGGAAUGGAGGAGGCGACGGCUUCUCUGACAUUUUCAGGUGGGGCCCAAGAAUGUUUUCUAGUAGGCACAGUUUAUAAGGAUUUGUAACAAAAUGGAAUGUAUAAGUGGAUAUUUUCACAGGAGUGCUUCACAUGCAGGGCCCUGCACCCUCAAGACAGGGGCAGCUGUGGCGCACGCAGUGGCCUGGAGCCACGAGGGAUUUGAGUCUGGGCCCUGUCUCUGUGCCUUGUUUCCCCACCUGGUGAAAUGGGGUAGGUAAUCAAGUAUUUAUUACCUGGGGAGGCUGUGUGUAUUGAACAAGAUACUGCACAGACAGCCCUCAAUCUAUAGCAUCAUCUAUAAAGUGGGUGGUCUCGAAGGGUCUUUCUAAAGGCUCACACAGUGGAAAAUGGCCUGCCAGACCCCAUGAUAACUGGGACUGGGUGACUGCUGCUGCCUUUGCUGUUUCCCUGUGCCGACUGAGCCGGCAUCAGGCCCAGAGCACUGCUGCCUGGGUCUGCGAUGUCCAGUUCUCUUGGAGGCCGUGGGCCAUGACUGCAGGUGUGCUGCAGCACGGCAGGGGCUCAAGCAGGGCCGCCUAGUGCAGUACUGACCAGCGUGAGGAGGGCUGUGUGUCUCACUUAUCUUUUGGCUUCUUGGCUGGGUUCUUUUGUUGGUUGAAUAACCACAGCCCCUCUACAUGGCCAUCCCUGCUUAGCCAGGUGUUUGUGCCUGCCUUCCCCAUCUCAGGCUUACUGCCUCUGUGACAGUCACUCUGUUCUACUGCUGUACUGUCUCUGCCUUCUGGAGGAGACCAGAGGCCAGCUCCUCAAGAUGCAAUAGAGCAAGGGCGGAUAAGGGCUUCUGCACGCCAGUCAAAUGUCAGUUUGAAUCGUAGUUGCCCUUGGGCACGGAUGUUUUCCUCUACUGGAAAAUGGGUACCACGUGGUGGUGACGACAGUGGUGGUGAUGCAGAUGCUGCCUCCCCUGAGAGAUGGGUGCUCCUUAUAUUCCCAUUCGGCCCCUCACCUUGCCGGCUGUGCUUAUGCCCAGUGUCUUAAGUUCCUUUGAGGCAAAGUGCUUCCCACCCCACACGGAGUUUAUCUUACACUCUGACCUUUUUUAUUGCCUUGACCAGAUUAAGAAGGUGUCUGAGCUUCCCCUGAAGUCACUCCAGUUGUGUCUGCAACAGCCUUUCCCAAGUUCUUAGACCUCAGUUUCCAUGGCUGUUGCAAGGGGACUCCAUGAGCUACCUCUGCCUGGUACCUUCCUGGGUCACCUGCUCAGUGAUGGCUGGGGCUGUACACAUUGGUUGCUUGUGUCCACUGUCCCACUGGACGGCAGAGAUUUGGGUUCACAGGGCCACAGCACAGAGGAGUGUUUACUUCCGCCAGCUGUGCUGAGCCCCUCCUCACAUAGGGCAUCGCCAAGCAUCCCUGUUCUUGGUGAGCUCAGCCUCCGGGACUGGGCAAGGCAGGCACACAGGACUCCAGGCCAGGGGCUGUGUGGAGGAGCCAAUCAGGGACCCGAAGAGUCCUGUGGGGGUGAGGCUGUGUCCUAAGGGUUGGAAAGCCCAGGGGGAUUUUCUGGAGGAGAAAGACUAGUAGCCUGACCCUGAAGGUUAAAUACAGAUAAAAGUGGAUUCUAGGUGGACUCUGGUUUUCUUGCUGGACCAGGCCACCUGUCUAAUUGCCUUGGCUGUUUGGGAGACCGAUAGGGCAGGACAUCUUGGCAGCUUGGGGGACACAGGUAAAAUGUCUAUCACCCCAUGUGGCCCUUCCUCUGCUGGGGUUAGGUCUCCCUCACACUGUGCUCCUGGCCUUCGUGUGUUCUGUCUGGCUUUGAAUAACUGCCCAGCAGGAGACUACUCCAUGCAGAGGUAAAGGCCAGGCUAUCAGGGUCCUGAGCUGAGGACAGUGGGUUACAAGAGGGUGAAGCUAAAAUUCAGAAGGGGAUGGUCAUGGGCCCAGCACCUCCAAAGCUGGAGAGAGGCCAGGGCAGCACAACCCAGCAGAGGUCGCUUACCUUCGCUCACUCCAGGGUGCACGUGUUCUGGGUUAAUAAGUAAUUCUCCCAGUUCAGUUUGUCUCUGUCCUUUAUAUUUGUCUUCUAAGGCUCAUGCUGAGGGGGCAGAGAGGCUGAUGGCUGUGCCUGGGUGGGUCAGGGAAUACCAAGAGCUGUUUCCAAGGUUCUCUAAAACCACGCACACAGAGAGUGCUCAGGCAGUGUGGGGAUCUUCUGGCAGAAUGCGCCGAGGUGGGUCUGCUGACCAAAGGGGACGGGAGGCAGGGGUUCCGUGUGCCUGAUACCAAGAACACUGAAGCCAAAGGCCUCCGAUCAAAUACCGGCUCUGCCUGGUACACGCUAUGUGACCUCCGGUGAGUGACUUGACCUCUCUAGGCUUCCAUUUCUUUGUCUUUGAGUGGAAUUAAUAGUGCUGCUCAUCUUGUGGGGUUGUUGUGAGAUACGGCACAUAAAGGGUUCAGCACAGCGCCUGGGACCCAACGAAUACCCAUAAAUGGUAGCUUGAAGAAAACAAACUCACUCUCCUUUUAGGCUCAUAAAUCUAAGGAGAGUUUAAUCAAAGCCCCAAACUAGCUAUUACGCAAGUACUGCCCCUCUGGAGAGGGGCCGUCCCCUCACGUCAAACAGAGUGGAGGGAGUGGGGUAUCCAUAGAUACUGCGACCAGAACGCCCACCAGCUGCCAGCGGUGGUUUCCCGAGGCUGGGGUCACACCGCGGGGUCUCAUUUGCCUCCAGUGGGCUUUAAUAUCGGCCCCCAAUCUUGGGGGUGGAUGGGCUGGAGGAAGGGAGUGUAGGCCUGUGGUCAUCCUCCACAUGUGCAAGAUGCCGGGCCUCAGCUGAGAGAAAGUGACCCCACAGCUCUCUACCAGCAUGUCUGCAUGUAUAUUGUUUUAAUUCCAACAUGACUUUAAUGCCGGAGACACUGGAUGCCACAAACAAGCUGUUUUAUUUCCCCUCCUAAACCCCACUGUGAUUUACUGGCCGGCUCUGGUGUAAUCCCAUUCUUUGCUCAUGAAAGAGAGGGCAGCUGUUUACACGGCUCUGUGGGGCAAGGUCUGCCCGACAGAUGUGGGGCUGGGUGGCUAUGCACAUGUGCUUGUCUUUGGCAUUCCGCCCUCUUAAAAGCUUUCAACUGAUUAUUUUUUAAAACUUUUUACUCCGUGAAAAAUGUAAAUAAGUUUGUAAUAACAGAUGCUCUUUUAUGGGCAUGACUUUUUACGCUUCAAUUAAAAAUUUCCCAAUAGUCAUAUGAAAGAGCGUGAAAUUAUUACCUCCAAUAAAGGCUCCUAUUGCUUCUCUCCUCGGAAGCACCUUUCAUCACAGUAGAUCAAAGUGCAUCCGAAACACUAAUUAACUGAGCCUCAGAACUGUCUGUGAGGAAGGGCAGUCCCUUAGUCUCACUAGCUGAUAAGACAGGUCAGGGUCAGAGAGGGUGAUUCAUUUACCAAAGGUCACUCAGCAGCACAGCACCAAAGAAUAGAACUUCUAUGGGAGGUGUGGGGAUGGGAAGGUGAGAGAAGCAGGAAGCAGGCUAAUUAUGCUCAGAUCCAAAAGAACUUUGUGGGGAAAAAAAAAAAAAGGUCUUGAAUUGCCUCUGGGACUGAGUCAGGCACCUGUAACACCUCUCCACAGUUCCUGGGAAAGUUCAACCUGCUGGGUGCUUGCUGACCACCUUAUGAAAGAUGCUUGUCUUUGCCAGGUGCUCUUAGAGCCGACUGAAAGCGCUGUUAGAAGCUCUAGCUCUGUCAGCUUUGCUUUCAAUAUGCGUUUAAAUGGUACUGACUUUUAAAAUGAUGUUCAACAUAUGCUUGUGGCAGAAGAGAAUAGAAUGAGGACGUACAGUGCCUAGAAACACAGAUGGCAAUCCAGAACAACAACCGCGUCGGCUCUGGACGUCCCUGUGCUUUGGGGUGAAGUGGAGCACAGGGCAGAGUGAGCACAGGAACUCAAGGCUGGGGCAGCGUGCACUUCCACUUGUCCUCUGCUCAGGGUCCUGCCCCCCCACACCAGCUUCUUUGUGCCAGUAAGUCCGAGAAGAGAGCCCACUCUCACGGGGCAGAGGGCUGAGGGGCCCUCAUGUGCAGGGACACCCUUUGUGGGAGGCCUCGGCUGCCCAGACCUGCAGGGGAAGGGAGGGGAGGUGCGGUGCCCACAGCUCACCUCCAGGAGGGACUGCAGGAGAAUGCCCCUUCUGUCCUUGAUGGACACGGGCAGUGACAGAGGCUCCAGAGGAAGAUCUUUUCCCAUAUCAGGUCCUCUGGUGGGUCCUGCCAGUCCUGUGUGACUGCCAUGGCCCACAGGAAGCCCUGGGGCAUGUUGUCUGUCUGCCUGUAAGUAAGGCCUUCUGGGUACAAUGUGUAAGCUCUGCUUGAAAAGACAUCCCAGGAGGAUAUGACAGGAAUUCCGUCCAGGACUAGCUCUGUCACUGGCACGUGGGCUGUGGGACCCUCACUGUUCAGGGAAGCAGAAUUACAAGACCUGCCCAAGCAAAGUCCACUCUCUAUCCUCCUCGUGGGUUUGGAAGGGAAGUGCUUUGAGAAGAGCAGCUUUCCAUACGUACAAGGAAUAGUUCUGAGGAGGAUGGUGCAGCCUGCAGUGUCAUGGGACAUCAGUGUGCUGGGGCCCGUGCUCCCGCUGCACAGCCCGCCUUCCUCGGGUACUGGGAGGAAAUGACGGCAGAGACCCUGCAAGGCUCUCCACCUGCUGACACAGAGCCCUGGGCUGCGGCAGCUCUAAAGGCCAGUUUCCCUUUGUUUCUGUGCCCCAUCCAGAUGGGGAGCCUUCCAGAGGCCUACAGCUCAGACCCUUAGUAGGGAGGACCCUGGAGAUGUGAUGGGUGGAGACAUAGCCUCAGAGGCAGCCCUCAUACCUUCCUCAUGGAAGCGUUCUCAAAGCACGCUCCCUUCGGAGAGCUCCUUUAAUUUCCCAGCAGUCCUGAGAUGUUGCGUAGGGGGAUGAUCAUGUCUAUUUCACAGAGUAGGGGUUGGACUCAGAAUGGGGGUUACCUUGCAUGCCAUCACUCAGCUGGUUAGGCAGGCCCGAGCACAGGGCUGCUCUGAUAGGCAGGGACCUGAUGGGCUGUGUGCUGGCAUCUAGGGGUGCACCACCCAGGAGAGGGUGUGGUUGGGGGUCUGUCUUAGGGGCAGUUGUGCUGCUGCCCACAACCUCCAUGAGUCUCCCUGGGAAGACUUCAGGGCUGGGAGGUGGGGGAGGCCCAGCCCUGUUUCUGUCCCACAUAUCUGCCCACUCAGAUCCACCUCAUUAGCAGGGCAGUGAGACACAGGUAGCGCAAGCAGGUUUUGGGGAGGUGGAGGGUGCUUGGAAAUACAAAGGUCAGGGACAGAGGGCCUUGCCCAGAGAAUGCUGAGGUUUCAGGACAGAACUAUAACAUUGCUAGGGGCUGGGCCUGCGAGGGGCUCUCCCAGUCAGUAUCCCUGCAUUCACGCCUCCCCACCCAUCAAAGUCUUAGUGUCCUUCAAGGGCCACCUUCUGUGAUGACAUCUGCUGUCACAGCUGAAGUUUGGUUCUAUCCUCAGGCUUCCUGUCUUUCUACAUCUCUUCACUGUCCCUCACAAUUACCUAAUGUCUGUGUUCUUCCCGAGUUCGAGCUUCUGUUCCCCUCAACAAAGGCGAGUGCUUGAAGGCAGCCGCAGCUGAGCAUGCGCGGUCAGAGCUCUGCAAGCAUGGGCCACAUACGUAGGGGAACAAGCCGUGGGCCCUUACCUGCCGCUGCCGAUGGAUGGA